UUCCUGUAGUUAAAGUGGUAACGGCAGUUUUUCAGGCUGCAGAUCUUGGGUAGAAUCCGAGCAGGAAUU
rnacentral:tRNA from 2 species